GUGCCAGCCGCCGCGGUAAUACGUAGGGUCCGAGCGUUGUCCGGAUUUAUUGGGCGUAAAGAGCUCGUAGGCGGCUCGGUAAGUCGGAUGUGAAAACUCGGGGCUCAACCCCGAGACGCCAUCCGAUACUGCCGUGGCUUGAGUCUGGUAGGGGAACACGGAAUUCCUGGUGUAGCGGUGAAAUGCGCAGAUAUCAGGAGGAACACCAAUGGCGAAGGCAGUGUUCUGGGCCAGUACUGACGCUGAGGAGCGAAAGCGUGGGUAGCAAACAGGAUUAGAUACCCUCGUAGUCC
rnacentral:rRNA from 1 species